AUGGCCACAUCAUGUUGAAACACUGGCUCUUGUAUGAUCACCAAAGUUAAGCAUUAUUGUGCCUGGUCAGUAAAUACAUGGGUGGCUACUUGGGAAUACCGGGUGCUGU